AGGAUGAACGCUGGCGGUCUGCUUAACACAUGCAAGUCGAACGAGACCUUCGGGUCUAGUGGCGCACGGGUGCGUAACGCGUGGGAAUCUGCCCUUAGGUACGGAAUAACAGUGAGAAAUUACUGCUAAUACCGUAUGAUGUCUUCGGACCAAAGAUUUAUCGCCUAGGGAUGAGCCCGCGUUGGAUUAGCUAGUUGGUGGGGUAAAAGCCUACCAAGGCGACGAUCCAUAGCUGGUCUGAGAGGAUGAUCAGCCACACUGGGACUGAGACACGGCCCAGACUCCUACGGGAGGCAGCAGUGGGGAAUAUUGGACAAUGGGCGAAAGCCUGAUCCAGCAAUGCCGCGUGAGUGAAGAAGGCCUUCGGGUUGUAAAGCUCUUUUACCCGGGAAGAUAAUGACUGUACCGGGAGAAUAAGCCCCGGCUAACUCCGUGCCAGCAGCCGC
rnacentral:rRNA from 1 species